AUUGAACGCUGGCGGCAGGCCUAACACAUGCAAGUCGAGCGGAUGAAGGGAGCUUGCUCCUGGAUUCAGCGGCGGACGGGUGAGUAAUGCCUAGGAAUCUGCCUGGUAGUGGGGGAUAACGUCCGGAAACGGGCGCUAAUACCGCAUACGUCCUGAGGGAGAAAGUGGGGGAUCUUCGGACCUCACGCUAUCAGAUGAGCCUAGGUCGGAUUAGCUAGUUGGUGGGGUAAAGGCCUACCAAGGCGACGAUCCGUAACUGGUCUGAGAGGAUGAUCAGUCACACUGGAACUGAGACGCGGUCCAGACUCCUACGGGAGGCAGCAGUGGGGAAUAGUGGACAAGGGGCGAAAGCCUGAUCCAGCCAUGCCGCGUGUGUGAAGAAGGUCUUCGGAUUGUAAAGCACUUUAAGUUGGGGGGAAGGGCAGUAAGUUAAUACCUUGCUGUUGUGACGUUACCAACAGAAUAAGCACCGGCUAACUUCG
rnacentral:rRNA from 1 species